GAGAACCCNNCCUUAACCUUNGGANAANCCUGGGAANCUGGGUUUAAUACCGGAUACGACCAAUCUCCGCAUGGGGUGUUGGUGGAAAGCGUUAUGUAGUGGUUAUAGAUGGGCUCACGGCCUAUCAGCUUGUUGGUGAGGUAACGGCUCACCAAGGCGACGACGGNUAGCCGGCCUGAGAGGGUGACCGGCCACACUGGGACUGAGACACGGCCCAGACUCCUACGGGAGGCAGCAGUGGGGAAUAUUGCACAAUGGGCGCAAGCCUGAUGCAGCGACGCCGCGUGAGGGAUGACGGCCUUCGGGUUGUAAACCUCUGUUAGCCAGGGAAGAAGAGAGAUUGACGGUACCUGCAGAGAAAGCGCCGGCUAACUACGUGCCAGCAGCCGCGGUAAUACGUAGGGCGCGAGCGUUGUCCGGAAUUAUUGGGCGUAAAGAGCUUGUAGGCGGUUUGUCGCGUCUGCUGUGAAAGGCCGGGGCUUAACUCCGUGUAUUGCAGUGGGUACGGGCAGACUAGAGUGCAGUAGGGGAGACUGGAAUUCCUGGUGUAGCGGUGGAAUGCGCAGAUAUCAGGAGGAACACCGAUGGCGAAGGCAGGUCUCUGGGCUGUAACUGACGCUGAGAAGCGAAAGCAUGGGGAGCGAACAGGAUUAGAUACCCUGGUAGUCCAUGCCGUAAACGUUGGGCACUAGGUGUGGGGAACAUUCCACGUUUUCCGCGCCGUAGCUAACGCAUUAAGUGCCCCGCCUGGGGAGUACGGCCGCAAGGAUAAAACUCAAAGAAAUUGACGGGGGCCCGCACAAGCGGCGGAGCAUGCGGAUUAAUUCGAUGCAACGCGAAGAACCUUACCAAGGCUUGACAUAUACUGGACCGCAUCAGANAUGGUGUUUCCCUUCGGGGCUGGUAUACAGGUGGUGCAUGGUUGUCGUCNGCUCCUGUCGUGANAUGUUGGGUUAAGUCCCCCAACGAGCGCAACCCUCGUUUCUAU
rnacentral:rRNA from 1 species